GACGAACGCUGGCGGCGUGCCUAAUACAUGCAAGUGGGACGCAAGGGAACACACUGUGCUUGCACACCGUGUUUUCUUGAGUCGCGAACGGGUGAGUAACGCGUAGGUAACCUGCCUAUUAGCGGGGGAUAACUAUUGGAAACGAUAGCUAAUACCGCAUAAUAUUAAUUAUUGCAUGAUAAUUGAUUGAAAGAUGCAAGCGCAUCACUAGUAGAUGGACCUGCGUUGUAUUAGCUAGUUGGUAAGGUAAGAGCUUACCAAGGCGACGAUACAUAGCCGACCUGAGAGGGUGAUCGGCCACACUGGGACUGAGACACGGCCCAGACUCCUACGGGAGGCAGCAGUUGGGAA
rnacentral:rRNA from 1 species